rnacentral:other from 1 species
UCACUACAAUACGCACAUACUUAAUGAUUGGUAAUUCCUUAUUGGUUAAGAGUUUCGACUUAAGUAUGAUGUUGUGUUUGCAUAGUUCGGGCAACCGAACGGAGUAACUGGUUAGUUACUCAUUUCACUUCCUGUAUAUUUUUUAACCCAUUUAGGUUAGACACCGCUCAUUUGAGCGGUGUUUUUUUAU